UACGGAGGGUGCAAGCGUUAUUCGGAAUUACUGGGCGUAAAGCGUGCGUAGGUGGUUUGUUAAGUCCGUUGUGAAAGCCCCGAGCUCAACUUGGGAAUUGCAGUGGAUACUGGCGAGCUGGAGUGCGGUAGAGGAAGGUGGAAUUCCCGGUGUAGCGGUGAAAUGCGUAGAGAUCGGGAGGAACACCAGUGGCGAAGGCGGCCUUCUGGACCAGCACUGACACUCAAGCACGAAAGCGUGGGGAGCAAACAGG
rnacentral:rRNA from 1 species